rnacentral:rRNA from 1 species
GACAGAGGGUGCGAACGUUGUUCGGAAUUACUGGGCGUAAAGCGCGUGUAGGCGGCAAUGCAAGUCGGGCGUGAAAUCCCACGGCUCAACCGUGGAAGUGCACUCGAAACUGCAUAGCUAGAGUCCUGGAGAGGAAGGUGGAAUGCUUGGUGUAGAGGUGAAAUUCGUAGAUAUAAGCGGAACACCGGUGGCGAAGGCGGCCUUCUGGACAGUGACUGACGCUGAGACACGAAAGCCAGGGGAGCAAACGGG